rnacentral:rRNA from 1 species
AAUGAACGCUGGCGGCAUGCUUAACACAUGCGAGUCGAACGGCAGCGCGGGCAGCGGCCUGGCGGAGGGUGGGGGACGGGCGGGUGAGGGAUGGGUACGUGGCCAGCAGCGUUGUAGUGGGCGACGACAGACGGAUGAAUACAGUAAACGAGCUUAGGGUGUAAGCGGGGGACCGAAAGGGCUUGGGCCUUUGGGCGGGCCGAUGUCGGAUUAGCGGGUUGGCGGGGUAAAGGCUUACCAAGGCGCCGAUCCGUAGCUGGUCUGAGAGGACGAGCAGCCACACUGGAACUGAGACACGGCCCAGACUCCUACGGUAGGCAGCAGUGGGGAAUGUUGGACAAUGGGGGCAACCCUGAUCCAGCCAUGCCGCGUGGGGGAAGAAGGCCUUCGGGUUGUAAAGCGCUUUUGUUCGGGAAGAAAAGCACUGGGCUAAUACCCCGGUGGGAUGACGGUACCUGAAGAAUAAGCACCGGCUAACUACGUG